rnacentral:tRNA from 1 species
GUCUCUGUGGCGCAAUCGGUUAGCGCGUUCCGCUGUUGACUGAAAGGUUGGUGGUUCAAGCCCACCCAGGGACG